AUGCAGGUCGAGCGGCAGCGCGGGGCAACCUGGCGGCGAGCGGCGAACGUGUGAGUAAUACAUCGAAACAUGUCCAGUCGUGGGGGAUAGCCCGCCGAAAGGCGGAUUAAUACCGCAUACGCCCGAGAGGGGAAAGCGGGGGACCGUAAGGCCUCGCGCGAUUGGGUUGGCCGAUGUCCGAUUAGCUUGUUGGUGAGGUAAAAGCUCACCAAGGCGAUGAUCGGUAGCUGGUCUGAGAGGAUGAUCAGCCACACUGGGACUGAGACACGGCCCAGACUCCUACGGGAGGCAGCAGUGGGGAAUUUUGGACAAUGGGGGCAACCCUGAUCCAGCCAUUCCGCGUGAGUGAAGAAGGCCUUCGGGUUGUAAAGCUCUUUUGUCCGGAACGAAACGGUGCAGGUGAAUAUCCUGCGCUACUGACGGUACCGGAAGAAUAAGCACCGGCUAACUACGUGCCAGCAGCCGCGGUAAUACGUAGGGUGCAAGCGUUAAUCGGAAUUACUGGGCGUAAAGCGUGCGCAGGCGGUUUUGUAAGCCAGAUGUGAAAUCUCCGGGCUUAACCUGGGAAUGGCAUUUGGGACUGCAAGGCUUGAGUACGGCAGAGGGGACUAGAAUUCCUGGUGUAGCAGUGAAAUGCGUAUAUAUCAGGAGGAAUACCGAUGGCGAAGGCAGGUCCCUGGGCUGAUACUGACGCUCAUGCACGAAAGCGUGGGGAGCAAACAG
rnacentral:rRNA from 1 species